rnacentral:rRNA from 1 species
UACGUAGGGUGCAAGCGUUGUCCGGAAUUAUUGGGCGUAAAGAGCUCGUAGGCGGUUUGUCGCGUCGAAUGUGAAAACCCGGGGCUCAACUCCGGGCCUGCAUUCGAUACGGGCAGACUAGAGUUCGGUAGGGGAGUCUGGAAUUCCUGGUGUAGCGGUGAAAUGCGCAGAUAUCAGGAGGAACACCAAUGGCGAAGGCAGCUCUCUGGGACGGUACUGACGCUGAGACGCGAAAGCGUGGGGAGCGAACAGG